GUAGUCCACGCCCUAAACGAUGUCUACUAGCUGUUGGUGUAGAGAUACACGAGUAGCGAAGCAAACGCGAUAAGUAGACCGCCUGGGGAGUACGGUCGCAAGAUUAAAACUCAAAGGAAUUGACGGGGACCCGCACAAGCGGUGGAUGAUGUGGAUUAAUUCGAUGCAACGCGAAGAACCUUACCUGCUCUUGACAUGCUAGGGAUUUGCUAGAGAUAGCGAAGUGCCUUCGGGAACCUAGACACAGGUGCUGCAUGGCUGUCGUCAGCUCGUGUCGUGAGAUGUUGUCUUAAGUGACGCAACGAGCGCAACCCUUACCACUAGUUGCCCCAAUUAAGUUUGGCACUUUAGUGGGACUGCCGGAGCUAAUCCGGA
rnacentral:rRNA from 1 species